GCUGGAAUCGCUAGUAAUCGCGAAUCAGAAUGUCGCGGUGAAUACGUUCCCGGGUCUUGUACACACCGCCCGUCACACCAUGGGAGUCGGAUAUGCCCGAAGCCGGUGACCUAACCGCAAGGAAGGAGCCGUCGAAGGUGGAGCCGAUGACUGGGGUGAAGUCGUAACAAGGUAGC
rnacentral:rRNA from 1 species